rnacentral:lncRNA from 1 species
GCUGUACACAUCCAUACACAACAGACACACAUUAUAAUAUGGUGCUGUACACAUCCAUACACAACAGACACACAUUAUAAUAUGGUGCUGUACACAUCCAUACACAACAGACACAUUCUAAUAUGGUACUGUACACAUCCAUACACAACAGACACACAUUCUAAUAUGGUACUGUACACAUCCAUCCACAACAGACACAUUCUAAUAUGUUACUGUACACAUCCAUACACAACAGACACAUUCUAAUAUGGUACUGUACAGAUCCAUACACAACAGACACAAUCUAAUAUGUUACUGUACAGAUCCAUACACAACAGACACAUUCUAAUAUUGUACUGUACACAUCCAUACACAACAGACACAUUGUAAUAUGUUACUGUACACACCCAUACACAACAGACACAUUCUAAUAUGAUUCUGUACACAUCAAUACACAAAAGACACAUUCUAAUAUGGUACUGUACACAUCCAUACACAACAGACACACAUUCUAAUAUGGUACUGUACCCAUCCAUACACAAAAGACACAUUCUAAUAUGGUACUGUACACAUCCAUACAAAACAGACACAUUCUAAUAUGGUACUGUACACAUCCAUACACAACAGACACAUUCUAAUAUGGUACUGUACACAUCCAUACACAACAGACACAUUCUAAUAUGUUGCUGUACACAUCCAUACACAACGAGACACAUUAUAAUAUGUUACUGUACACAUCCACACACAACAGACACAUUCUAAUAUGUUACUGUACAGAUCCACACACAACAGACACAUUCUAAUAUGUUACUGUACACAUCCAUACACAACAGACACAUUCUAAUAUGUUACUGUACAGAUCCAUACACAACAGACACAUUCUAAUAUG